CCAGCCUCCUUACCCCUCAGAUCUAAAUAUUGAUCUGAGUGGCUUAAAAGUAAAACUGAAGUGGACUUGGAAUUUUUCAUGACAUACAAGUUCAUUUCAAACAUAU
rnacentral:snoRNA from 1 species